rnacentral:lncRNA from 1 species
AAGGUCCUGAUGGGCAGGCUCUAGAAGGAAGGCUGUGGGUCUCUAGCUGUGAUGCUGACUGACCCCGGGCAGAUCGCUUCCCUUCUCUGGUCAUCCAACUCCUCAUCAGUUGAAAGAGGCAGUGGCUGCCAUUGUUCUUCAUGAUGUCCUGAGCGUGGUCUUUGAAUCCAGUGCAGAGCUGUUAGCAAGACGCUUCCUGAGGAAACACAGUGAAAUGCUUUGGAAUGAGAGACUGCUGUGUCAGUGAGGGUACGCUGUAUGGAACCUCAAGGACUUCUCCAGAAUCUAGGAUGAGAGGAAUUGCACAGAGUGCACAAGCCACAGUAGAGAUGAGAACACUGCCCACCAUGUUCACGAGAUGGAGGAUGCGAUGACCAGGACCAGCGAGCCUGGAAACUGGGGUAUGGGAAGCCUGAAACCUGCUUGCUCGGGGUGGAGCUUCCUGCUCAUUCGUUCUGCCACGCCCACUGCUGGAACCUGAGGAGCCACACACGUGCACCUUUCUACUGGACCAGAGAUUAUUCGGCGGGAAUCGGGUCCCCUCCCCCUUCCUUCAUAACUAGUGUCCCAACAAUAAAAUUUGAGCUUUGAUCAGAA